rnacentral:rRNA from 1 species
UACGGAGGGUGCAAGCGUUAUCCGGAUUUACUGGGUUUAAAGGGUGCGUAGGCGGAUAAGUAAGUCAGUGGUGAAAUCUCCGAGCUUAACUCGGAAACUGCCGUUGAUACUAUUUAUCUUGAAUACCGUGGAGGUGAGCGGAAUAUGUCAUGUAGCGGUGAAAUGCUUAGAUAUGACAUAGAACACCGAUUGCGAAGGCAGCUCACUACGCGGUCAUUGACGCUGAGGCACGAAAGCGUGGGGAUCAAACAGG